CCUACGGGGGGCAGCAGUGAGGAAUAUUGGUCAAUGGCCGAGAGGCUGAACCAGCCAAGUCGCGUGAGGGCAGAAUGUCCUAUGGAUUGUAAACCUCUUUUGUCAGGGAGCAAAGUCACCCACGUGUGGGAGUUGGAGAGUACCUGAAGAAAAAGCAUCGUCUAACUCAGUGCCAGCAGCCGCGGUAGUACGGAGGAUGCAAGCGUAGUCCGGAUUUAGUGGGUUUAAGGGUUGCGUAGGUGGGUUAUUAAGUCAGCGGUAAACCCGUGGAGCUCAACUCCAUCCAGCCGUUGAAACUGAUGAUCUUGAGUGGGCGAGAAGUAUGCGGAAUGCGUGGUGUAGCGGUGAAAUGCAUAGAUAUCACGCAGAACUCCGAUUGCGAAGGCAGUAUACCGGCGCCCGACUGACGCUGAAGCACGAAAGCGUGGGUAUCGAACAGGAUUAGAUACCCCAGUAGUC
rnacentral:rRNA from 1 species